rnacentral:rRNA from 1 species
UUUUUCCUACGGGGCGCAGCAGUGGGGGAUAUUGCACAAUGGGGGGAACCCUGAUGCAGCGACGCCGCGUGGGUGAAGGAGCGUUUCGGCGCGUAAAGCCCUCUCGGCAGGGAAGAAGGAGGACGGUACCUGACUAAGAAGCCCCGGCUAACUACGUGCCAGCAGCCGCGGUAAUACGUAGGGGGCAAGCGUUAUCCGGAUUUACUGGGUGUAAAGGGAGCGUAGACGGCAGCACACGUCUGGAGUGAAAUCCCGGGGCUUAACCCCGGAACUGCUUUGGACACUGUGCGGCUGGCGU